GUCGGUAGUAAGAGAGGGUUGUAUUUAAAAGGGGAAAGAGUAGUAGGCCUCUCACAGUUUAUUGCUUAUAUUAUAAACAAAGAGGCAAGGAAGCCUUCGCGCUAUCAAUCUUACUCGCCAAUAGGUCUGACAGCUUCGUGCCCUGAGAACACAUUUAAACCUUCUAACUCUCUCUUAGAUCAAAUGGAACCAGGAAGAGAGGACGACCACUGAACACUUAUUUUAGAACAAGAUUCUGCUGCCAUUCUAGUUUUACACUAGGAUUUUUAAGCCGUAACUAUUUUCUUGAAAGAAAUAAUACGAAAUCGGUGAGUAACCAACCUUUAAACUUUUUUUUUUGCCUUUUACCCACUUCAACAUUUUGCCUUUUAUAACGUUCCAGUUUUUGCGCGAACAAUUGUGUAGGAAAGACUCAGCUGGCGAGAAAAAGACGAAUGGUUUUGCAAUUACACACAGCUUUGUGUGUGAGAGGUGAGUGGGUGUCCGCAUUCUACUAAACCCGAUUCAGUCCCACACUUCAGCUCGGACUGAAAUAGCACUGAAUGAUUUCCCCUUUUCCCCAAGAAUAUAAAUCGGUAGGUAUAUCGACUUUACGUACAUAUAUCGGUUACUAUGUUUUUUUUUCAUUCCCUGUGAAGUUUAAAGCACAUGUGUGUGUUCUAGGCGUGGAGAGAAGGACAGAAUCCUCACGGAUCAAUUGUUCUUUCCAUAUCCCUGUUAACCAUAUGUUAGGCGAGGCAAUACGGUCAUGGACCCUUGAAGUCAAAAAAUAAUACGAGAAAAAAAAUAACGAGUUUGCGAAAACAAAGCACGAAUGAACAUUUGAAUUACUUAUUACUUGAGGGCUUAAGCAACGAUAGCAACUAUAUAGAAGAGCAUAUAGUCUAUUCUGCGACGAGGUACCUUUUAAUCUGUACCAUUCCAAUUCUAAAUAAUAUUAUUUUAGGGUAUAUAAUAGCUUUUUCGUAAAUAAAUAUUAUACGCAGUCUACUGUGGUUUAAUAUCUCUUAGAAUUCCAAGUGGGCUAGUUUGCUAUUUUUGCAAAAUAGAAUACAAAUUGGUGACUAAAUAAAAACAAAUUCAAUCUGCGCGUUAACAUACACAGAAUAGAGCGCUAUUGUUUCAAAACGUAAUUCAUUAAGAAUGAAAAAUGCACGAAAAAUGUACUUUCUAAAACACUUAAAGAGAAAAAUUAAGAAACAGAAUUCGACUUUUGCGGUUGUUAUUUUAAAACAGAAAAGAAAGAGUCGAGAGGAUAUUUUCUGCUGAUGAUUGUCAGUGGGAUUUAAAAAAAAUUACAACAUGGGAAUAUAGCAGUCAUAGUAUUUUUUUUUUUUCUACAUUUAGUGUAUAUAGUAUUACCGGUUAUUUAGUUAUUUUUUUAAGUGUAAAUGUACUUCAGAUAGUAACACAAUGAGCUCUUCUCACAUAUAUUGUAAUUUAUAAAAGCAACUUAUGAAAUAUUUGAUAUUUAUCCAAAAAUGUUGCUUUUGUUUGUUCACACAUAUGUAUUUAGUUUGUUCGAUUGAUUUAUGUAAUUGUUGGUUAUUAUUUGAGUUCUAGAAGCAUUGCGUUUGUGACGGCCGCGUCUGCUCGGCCGCGCGGGAGAACCAGGCCACCAUCUAUUCCGAUUUUCAGCCAUCGCGCUUCGGAAUCAGCAAAGCAGCACAAAUAACCGCAGAAUGGAGCAGCUUGGAAUGUAUGACAAACAGAACCUGUGAUCUUUGAAGUAUCUUCAAUAAACAAGUACAAGCUGGGGAAUUCUAAAACUCUCAUACCUUGUCUCUCAUAUCUUAUUGCAUGAUUCCUGUUUCACUUCCCAAAAAAUGUAUGAACCCAAUAAAGAGAACAUUGUAAUCUUG